rnacentral:misc_RNA from 1 species
UUGUACGGGACGCCCGGAUCCUCAGUGCGCUCGUCACUCGCGACGCGUCCGGGACGAUUUUCUCUUGCUCCUCUCGCUCGCCCUCUCGAGACUACCCCCGGCUCUUUCUCACUCUCUUUCUCCUUCUUUCUCACCCUCUUUCUCACUGCGAGCAUCGACGUGCCGCGCCGGACACGAGCGAGCGUUUUCCGAAUUCGCCGAGAUGGUUUCCCCCGGUAGCAAACGCGCGCCCGAAAUUUCGGAAGGUCUCUGGCCAUGAGCACGCCGGGAGAAAGAUUCGCCGGUCCUUCGAGGAAAAAUUUGACCGAGCAGAACGGGCGAAAGUAUCGAAAUAACUAAUCGCAAGAUCGACCGGCGUCGUAAAUCUUGUCAAGGAACUGCAGAAACGCGCGAAAAGUUUUCGAUACAAGAGAUUUUCAAGUGGCACAAGUGUCGUUAGGUUGUGCUGUCGCUUUGAGUGUCGUUUGGAGUCUCGUAGCCUGCGAUAAAACGAAAUAAAAUAGUCCAGAGGAUGCCGGACGGCGCGGUGAUAGCUCCACAUUAAAUAGGCGCUGUCGCUCGGGGACGGAAUAAAUCUUAAGAGAAGUGCGUGCCCGUGGGAUGUAUUACGCGCAUUACCUCGGAAGGGUCUCCUAGAGCGGUCUAGGUCGAGCAAGAGCGGAUCGAGCAAAAUAAUGCGAUCGAAGCGCAUCAAGAAGGCUGCGCUCUUCCGUUUACUCAGAUAUAGACAGUGCGCCAGAUACCGGAAGAUAACUUAGCGCACUCGAGUGUACUCAGGACGCAGGUCGACGGAAAAAUCGACGGAAAAGUCCAAGGAGAGAAGAAUAGAAGGAAAACAUACGUACGCGCGCGUAUGCGCACGAUACGCGAUCACGGUGACGAUCGACGAGCGUAAUUUCACUUCACUGGCUGUGAUUUUUACUCGUAGACCCCGACGACCGGAGACUCGAAGGUGCGGAAAUCGUUAAGACUGAUCGAGAUAGACUUCCUCUCGCCGACUUUUCCAGCGAGAAAACAGAGCGAGCCUGGAACGUCGUCGUAAAUGUAAAUCGCGACGUCAACCGACUAGAUCGAUCGUUGUUACCGUGGUUAUUGUAUUUUGUCGCGCGAUAAACGUAUUAUCGUGUAAACAUUAGCACUGUAAACGUUAAUCGGGAUCUGUAUGCCUUGGCUACGACCUCGCCGAUACCGAGGGAUUAUUGGAGCGAGCGGAUCUCGCAAUCGCGGAUACUCCCGUUGCUUCUUUCGCGUUCGUGUUUAUUAGCGUCGUUGCAGGGCGCCGUUGCAUACAAAUGACGACGGGCAUCCUCAUCGUGGAGCGAGCAAGAUGCAUCACGCGCGAAUCUCGGAGCAACAUCGUCGAGUAACGAUCGCGCGCACGGAGGCGACGCGGACGAAACGCGAUCACAACGCGAGAAUAUUCGCCGGAUGAGCUCGAUGCGCUCCGAUUCGCGACUAAUUACGUUCGACAACUCGCUCGUAUGGUGGUCUUCCCUGCGUCGUCGACGAGCAAUCGCGAGUUCCUGAAAGUUAGCAAAACCCAGGAAGACCUCGUGGAUCCGCGAUUCCGUCGAGAUCUAUAUUCUCGGUCGAGAGGAGAAGCUAGAAGCACUACUUGGAGGCUUGCCGAAGAAGAGGAUUGCCGACGAUCGAAAGUUCGAGUGGCACUUGGGUCGUCCAAUAGCGGGAACAGGCUCGAAACUAUUUUGCCGCAUUGACGCGACAAAAUUUCACAAGAGGCCAUCGUCAAUGAGAACGAGAGGAUUCGCAAGACUCAGCGCUUUAUAAUACCUAAGUAGUCAGGAUAAUAAUUGAAGGAGAAUAACAAUUAAAAAGCGCGAGCGGUCGAGAGGAGAUAUCUGAAAAGAAGAUAAAGGGAAAGAGAAAUGUUAUUACCCGCGAGCGAGCGAGCAUUUUAAACGUUUGGAUUGAGAGGGAGGAAAAUCGAGCGGCGGAACAGUCACGGAAAGGGCAAUUAAGGAGGAGGAAAGGGGGAUCGAUUGGGGGGAGUAGAAACGCAAAAUUUAGCGAAAAGUUAACAAAAAAUUCGUGCGGAUGAUUCGGUUGAGAUUCGGCACAUCGAGUACAAAGGGAUAGAGGUGGAUUGAAAUUGAGAUUUUCACUCGGUAUUUCAAUGAAGAUACAUGUGCGCUACGUGAUUGAGAAGGUGGAAGGAAAUUCUGCUGAGAAUUCAACCGCGUAAGACCAAACGCCGGCAGUAAUUAACGUGAUCUUUUUAAACGUGAUAAUUUAAGUCGACAAUUUCCGGGAGAAAAAUCUGCACGAUUUUUUUGACGCACUCGAGAAAGAGAGAGAUAGAGCUAAGCCUGUGUAAUAAAUAGAUGACAUUUCAAUAUUCAGCUAGCCAAGACUGGAGUGAACGCUAAAGUUUCUACACGAAGGCAACGUAGUACGGAUCUGCUUGAAAACUCGCCGAUUAUUUUUCAAUUACCGCUUUAGAGGCGGCAAUUAACUAUCUUCGUAAUGGUACUACACAGUUUCUCGUCUAGAGAUACUCCAGACAUAACAGACGGACUUCCGCAAGGCGGAAAAGCGACGAAGUAGCGGCAAACUCAUCGAAAAUUCAUUCGGCGUUUUGCGCAACUCGAGGAAUAAAUCCCCCGACCAAGAGGGAUCGUUGGAAAUUCAUUCGGCAUAUUAGAUCAGCGCGUAGAAGCGAUGUAAUUAAAGAAAACCCGUGGGAACGCCGUGGAAACUGCGAACAGGGAUAAUUGAAAAUUCAUGUAACGUUUCAGCGUCUUCUCUUGUUCGCGAGAAGUACGAGAGAAAAUAAUAAGCAGUUGUAUUGGACACUUUAACCGAUCGCCCACGAAAAAGAAAAGAGAAAGAGGAAAGAACAGGCGGAAUAAAUCAGGGAGAAGAAAGAAGCGAUAUCGCGCAAUCGCACAGGGAUAACUCGAAACAACCAGGUGAGGAUCCGGACAACUGAAUGAAAGAUUCAGAUUCGGUCACUUUCGCGAACUUGAAUUAGAAAGCGCGAACAAGGAGCGCCAUCGAACCGGCGCCUCAUUUGAUUCCGCGGAAGACACAAAAUCCGACAAAAAUCGACGAGGCGAAAAUAGAGAAGUUAAAAAAACGCACGCAAGAAACAUCACCAACCGGAAAGAACUAUUCGCGAUUAAGUUCAGCAUUGCGCUCGAUAAGUAAAGGAUAUUGUUUAAAGUAAAGAUCGUUUUUUAAGAGCGCCAUUCGUCGAAGUGGAAAGAAAGAAGAGCAAUCUGGAAGCAAGAGUGUGAACUCUUCAGAGUUGGAGUGAAAUUCUGUGAGUCGGUCGGACGAUCCUGAGCUUCCUGGUCUUUUUUUCAUCAGUUUGUUUUGCGAAAACAAUCGCGGGGGAUACGAUACGAGAUCAAGGACCUCCGAGAGCGAAUAAAACGCCCACGCACGUCUGAAAAAAAGGGAAAAGCAGAGGGCCGUUGAAAGGGAGGCGAAAUUGAUCUACACGGACACUGCGGGAAUUUUUAGUAUCUUCGGUAUCGAUUCGGCGACCUGCAUUGCGUCAGCAAACGAUCGGAGAUCGCGAAUAACUGCGUGGAAAACCCGAUUCUCGCCAUUCGUGGCAGCACGUGAUCGUCCUUCCGGAAGUCGCUGAAGAAGCAUCCGCUGUCUCAUCAGGUUGCCCUUUUCCCGAGCAACGCCGGCGGGCGAAGGGACGUGAAAAGGGCGGGAAGAGUGCAGGGGUGGGUUACAAUUUCCAGUCGGCCACGUAACAGUAAAUUCAUUGCGCCAAGAGCGUAAUCCUGAGGGACGAGCGCGCGCGCGUGGGGCGUCCUGAAUUUCGAGACUUGAGGCGGACGGAUACCGGUGCGAGCGAGCCCGUGGCGUCGUUUGUUAAGGGCAGCACGUAUAUCCUCGGACUCGGGAGAAACGGCGCCUCCGCGAUUGCCGAUAUACGUUCGACGAGAACGAACGAGUGGCAAGAACCAAUGAAAGAAUCCUGAUUCGUGUCGAGGAUCACCGUCUUCGCGUCCGUCCGACAUGCCGAUCGAUCGAAUAGGCAGGACGUGAUUAUUAGGAAGAGACAGUAAAUUCUGUCGCGGGGGAUCAGAAGGGAUCGGACGAGAUCGACGGAGAGAUCUGGCACGACGUUUCUGCAGGGUGCAAACGACGAAGCGAAGCGAAAGUUGAAGGAAUUUAAUCGAAAUAGCGGCGGAAGAGGCCGGCAAGAGAAAUAAUUUUCACUCUUUCCUCCACCUCCCUCUCCAAUCCCACUUUUCGAAGUCAUGAAAUAUGAAGAACGAUGAGAGCAAUCCGAUUUUUACAUUCUACCGAGAGCUUAACGAGCGGCCCGUUCAUACGCGCUCGUCGUAAUGGAGAUUCUCUCGGCGCGAAAGAAGACAAAGGUCGUAGAAUAGGGAUUUUCGCUCGACGAAGGAUCGUAAAAUAUUCGUCGUUGGGCUGAGCGGAAAACGGACGCUCGAUUGCAAAGCAAGCAAUAGGAAUCGCUGCUUUGCUGACGUCAGGAGAAGAGCGAGAUUUAAGGGAAGAAUAAUUUUCAUCCAUAACAGUCUCAGCGCGUAAUCUGCCCGUGUCGUCAGAUCGUCAGAUCGUGUGUGUGUGUGUGUGUGUGUGUUCAAACGUGAAAAUCUCGUUAAGAGUGUUCUUUUUCGUCCAAAGACAUCUAUACAGGAAUCGUGCGUUCUUAAAUAACGUGGCAGACACGAGUAAGUGCAAGAGCUGGGAGUUUGUUUAAUGACGCGACGUCGCGAAUUUGCACCUUCCUUCAGCGAUUGUUCGAGGAAAUUAGAUUCCGGAAUUUUUAUUAUUAUUAUCACCACAGUGAGAACAACAAAGCACAACAAUUUCAGAAAAAGCAGAAUUUUGUCCACUUUAAAAUUCUUUGCGCGAAGAAGUUUCGUGUAUACCUGGUAUUCACGAUACAUCUAGGCGAGGCAAGAGUGUCAAGUGUACAAUUAGGACUUUCCGAGGCGGUCAUCGAUUUCUACCAAGGCUCGCUCACAGCUCCUCCAAGGGCCGAGUCACCUCUUAUCGGGAAUCAGAAAGCGGGUGGAGAUAGAAGAAAGGACGGUCGGUCGUUUCGACGCCGGUAAAAUUCGAAGAGAGUAUGCCAACCGCGCCUAAUAGAGGCGACGACGCUGUUUUCAAUUCCUGGUAGGAUAACGUCGAUCUCUCUCGAGCGGAACGAGCAGCCGAAGACUUCCCGCUGGAUUCGAUUUAGUAACGGGGGGAGGAGCACCAUUGCGAGAGGGUAAAGUCGAAAGGGGAAGAGAAGGAGGAGGGCGAGUACGUGAUCGUUGCGGGUGGCGUGCACGAAGAAACGAGAAGUGCAGUCGAAGCAAUACAGCGGGGGACAAGGCGGCUUUCGGGGUUGCAAGGUACUGCAAGCGACCUCGAUACGUUCGCGGGAGGAAAAAAGAAGAAGCGAGAGGCAUGUACGACCAUCAGACCAGCAGUGUUAUCGGGUCGCCUUGACGUUCGCUGGGAUUCACCUUGCAUCGCUACGACUUUUUUUAAGGGAAUCCUUAGCGAAACUCUGCGCUGCACGUGACUCGCGUGACAAUAUAGAUCACGACGUUGACGAACGAUUGACGAGAAGCAACCCCGUCUCCAGUUCCACUCUCUGAGUUUCAGCGACGUCGAGGAUCCGCUGUCCGUUGAGUCACGUUGCGUCAGCGAAAUCAUCCCCGCGUGUGGUAGAAUCGAGGUAUCGUUUACAGAAUCGAGGUAUCGUUUUCAGUUGCUGCUGAGCGAUUUCGGAUCUAGCGGAGAAUAAAAGAACUGCUGUGAAGGAUUUGAGACGAGGAGGAUCAUUAAAGUUCUGCUCAAAUCUGUGACUCGAGCGAUAAAUUGGUGAUAAAAAAGAGGAAGAGUAAGGUGGCGUUUGAAAAUUCGCGGUGAUUGAAUUCAUGAGGUCUGGUGUCUGAUAACGCAAUUGGAUUGUAAAUGGGGAAUUCGGGAUGGCUGGGAAAUGGAGACGAAGAGGUGAGCCGCAGAACAUUCAACGAAACGCAGACAAGAAGAUCGAAGUUCGCUGAAUCCGAUACCCUUAACGGUGUCUAAAACACAGUUCGAAGACCGUGUAACGUUAGACUACAUCCAAGGUGCAACGCGAGCAACAGCAUAUACAGCGAGUGAGUGAGUGCUAUCGAUUACCCGAAACAACGUUUCGCGAUCGCGCUUACAAACCGCAAAAUCAAAGCAUCAGAUUGACUAACGCACGGUACGAUCGACUGCCUCGCCAUUCAUUCAACGUGCACGUACGAGCUCCCCUAAGCACAAUUGUGGAAAUAUCGACUUUUACCAAUUAAUAAUGCUUGAUAAAAGUCUCACAAAUUUUCGGUGAACGAGAAUACCGGGGGAAGAAAGAGUCGAUUGUGCGUGAAUUACGAUUACGUCGAAACAGCAGCGAGUGUAUUUUGCUUGGCGAACUUGAGCAUUCUAAAUCAAUGAAAAAACACGAUCAACUUAAUCGAGCGUAAAACUAGUCGAUAGAUUAUCUUCGGGCUCAGGAACCACGAGAUAAACGGCGAGUUUUUUCCAGUUCUAGUCUUGCGACUUAAUCGAUUGCGGAAUUUUCGAUUAUUAUUAUUCCCGGUGGUGGACCGUGUUUCGUGUGAAAACUGCAAAGAUUAGUGUCGAUAGCCGAUAAAUAUAAUUAAGUGUUAAUAUUUAUUAAUAUUUAUGUGGAAGAACCACGAUUCCGUGAUACGGCACGAAAUGUCUCUCCGAGUUUGCACUUGCGAUCGCAGUCAUCGCCGUGUACCAAGUUCUUCGGAGUCCUUCGACAGGAUCGCAUGGGCGCAUCUGAGGACCGCGAGAGUUAACUAAAAUGCGAGAGCUGAACGCCACCGCAUGCGCUGCUUUGUACGACGGCGUCGAGUGGUACAGCGUGUGGAACGUGGUUACCUUAAUCGUCCUGGCGAUCGUCGAUGUCAUGGUGGUGCUAGGUAACAUUCUGGUUAUAUCGGCUGUCUUUUGCACCACCAAACUGAGAAACGUGACGAAUAUGUUUAUCGUGAGUCUGGCCGUCGCUGAUCUGAUGGUCGGCGUCGCCGUCUUGCCGUUCAGCGCAACCUGGGAGGUCUUCAAGGUUUGGAUAUAUGGAGAUAUCUGGUGCUCCGUGUGGCUAGCGGUUGACGUUUGGAUGUGCACGGCAUCAAUAUUGAAUUUAUGCGCCAUCAGCUUGGAUAGGUACUUGGCCGUGACCAGGCCAGUCAGUUAUCCUCAGAUUAUGUCGACGACGAGGGCCAGAGUGUUGAUAGCCUGCGUUUGGGUUUUCAGUUUCGUGAUUUGCCUUCCACCUCUGGUGGGCUUGAGAGACAAACGGUCACAUCCCACGUACAACAUGACGUUUCCUCUAUAUAGCCCGUCCAACACCACCACUAUACUCGUGCCGAUAAAGCCGUGCCCAUGGAUCUGCGAAUUGACCAACGACACCGGCUACGUCAUUUACAGCGCCCUAGGCUCCUUCUACAUACCGAUGCUGGUGAUGCUGUUUUUUUAUUGGCGGAUAUACAACGCCGCGGUUUCCACUACGAGGGCCAUCAAUCAAGGUUUUCGGACAACAAAGGCUUCGAAAAUGCUCGGCACCAGGUUCGACCAACAAAGACUGACUUUAAGAAUACACCGUGGCCGCGGUAGCGACCAUAACGGCAGUAACAAUGGCAACUCGAGGAGCCCAGAAUCGAGCAGCCGCAGCUCCGUCAAACGGGAGAAGAUCAAAAUCUCGGUCUCUUACCCGAGCACCGAGACGCUCAACACCAAGUGCAACACCCUUGAGAGAACGCCGUCGAGAUGCUCGCAAAUCUCGGUCCAUUACAGCAAUGGGCAAACGCAGACGCAGCUUUGUCCGACCUCGCGAAACACUCACCUCAAGGUCGGUGGAGUCAAUAGGGUGGGCAGCAGCAAGAGACCGAGCAGACGGAGCAGCUGCGAGAGUCAGGUGACCGGUGACGAGUUGUCCUUGCGCGAGAUGACGCCGAGCAGCGAGGAGAAACCGCGGGUGAUGAAGCUGGGCAAGAGGAACAUAAAGGCCCAAGCCAAGAGAUUCCGCAUGGAGACCAAGGCGGCGAAGACUCUGGGCAUCAUCGUCGGCGGUUUCAUCGUGUGCUGGCUGCCCUUCUUUAGCAUGUACCUGCUGCGCGCGUUCUUCCCGAACAGCAUCCAUCCGACCGUCUUUAGCGUUCUUUUCUGGCUAGGAUAUUUCAAUUCCGCGAUAAACCCUUGCAUCUACGCGCUCUUCAGCAAAGACUUCCGCUUCGCGUUCAAGAGGAUCAUCUGUUGCAAGUGCUGCAUGCAACGCGCCAACACGCUGCGACGUGGCAGUGACGGCAGUCAGUUGGCAAUGAGGAACGAGCGAAGUCCGAGCUACUCGAUCCGCGUGGCUCAACAGGGCACCUCCAUCGACGACUCCGAUCCGGAUCCAUCGUCGGAGCCGACCCAUUCGCAGAGCGAGUCCAGAUGAUUGUAGCGGCGCGUCCGAGCCGGCGUGCAGCGUGUCACUUUUAAUCCCCGUUCUUCCAAGGCGAGGAUUUUCUCCUUCUGAUGACGGCGGUGCUUUGAGACGUGCCUCGCGUCGAGCGACGACGACGACGACGACGAUGAGCCGUGGUCCUCCGACACUUGGCAUGCCAAUCCGUGUUUCACCAUUCUGCCAGACUGACACCGCAUCAGCAUUCCACGCUGUGUAAAUUGCACUUUUGCUGAGCGGCUGGAAACACCCUCGUGCUCUUCCGAUCCGUCUCUCGCACGCCGUUCUUAAACGUUCCUCGCGCCUCCCUAACGCCGCAAAUACGCAAAAUCAUCGGCUGGGCGAACCAGUUGACUCGUCCGGUAUUUCUCGCUGAAGGAACAAACCGGACACUUGGCUUGUCUACCGUUAUGCAUUGCAUCCCGCCUCGAUGGUGGGUUUAUCGCGCGGGCAGUAAAGAGGCGAGCCAAGUGAUCUGCUGGGUGAGGCGAGCACAUAAUUCGUUGUUCGACUUGACUGCUCGAUAAAUCGCGUAAUCUUACGGUACCGAGUUUACGCGAAGCCAUCAAGGCGGGGUGAGUAAAGUGGCGGAUUGCAUCCCCUCGCUUCUCGUCAAUUAUUGUUGAAGAGAACGUAAGCAGGUAAAUUUGGUUCGCCUUUACGCUUUAAUUGUGGCGAGAUCAACGGGGAACGGAGCGUCAGAGGGAGCAUCGCGAUGCGCGUCCUCUCGAAAUUGGAUUUAAUCGCGUCGGGCUCGGAACGCGGCGCCUCAUCUGCGACUCUUGUAAAGCGCAAAGGAAAGAAGGUGAACCGUGGCUUCCGUGUGCGGCACUUUGCCAAUUUUCUCCUCCGGCUACAUUGAGAGCUUAAAACGAUCUGUUUUUCGAUUUUUCGAUCCACCCUCGCUGAUGGAUCCAACGUCUUAGCAACGCGACUGUAAUCCGACGACGAGAUGACCGAUCGACUUCGAAAUGCGUGGUUCGUGUAUUAUGUGAUAUAUCGUAUAAAUACGUAAAAAAACGGAUGGAAAUAAAUAUGUGAAUAUGCGU